AGUGGACGCAUCACUGGUGUUCGGGUUGUCAUGCCAAUGGCACUGCCCGGUAGCUAAAUGCGGAAGAGAUAAGUGCUGAAAGCAUCUAAGCACGAAACUUGCCCCGAGAUGAGUUCUCCCUGAGACCUUGAGUCUCCUGAAGGAACGUUGAAGACGACGACGUUGAUAGGUCGGGUGUGUAAGCGCAGCGAUGCGUUGAGCUAACCGAUACUAAUGAACCGUGAGGCUUAACCUU
rnacentral:rRNA from 1 species